UGGGCAACCUGCCCCAGACACAGGGAUAACCCCGGGAAACCGGGGCUAAUACCGGAUACUCCGGUCGAACCGCAUGGCUCGAUCGGGAAAGCUCCGACGGUCUGGGAUGGGCCUGCGGCCUAUCAGCUUGUUGGUGGGGUAACGGCCUACCAAGGCGACGACGGGUAGCUGGUCUGAGAGGACGACCAGCCACACUGGAACUGAGAUACGGCCCAGACUCCUACGGGAG
rnacentral:rRNA from 1 species